GAUGAACGCUGGCGGUGUGCCUAAUACAUGCAAGUCGAGCGAACAGACGAGGAGCUUACUCCUCUGACGUUAGCGGCGGACGGGUGAGUAACACGUGGAUAACCUACCUAUAAGACUGGGAUAGCUUCGGGAAACCGGAGCUAAUACCGGAUAACAUGUUGAACCGCAUGGUUCAACAGUGAAAGACGGUCUUGCUGUCACUUAUAGAUGGAUCCGCGUCGCAUUAGCUAGUCGGUAAGGUAACGGCUUACCAAGGCAACGAUGCGUAGCCGACCUGAGAGGGUGAUCGGCCACACUGGAACUGAGACACGGUCCAGACUCCUACGGGAGGCAGCAGUAGGGAAUCUUCCGCAAUGGGCGAAAGCCUGACGGAGCAACGCCGCGUGAGUGAAGAAGGUCUUCGGAUCGUAAAACUCUGUUAUUAGGGAAGAACAAAUGUGUAAGUAACUAUGCACGUCUUGACGGUACCUAAUCAGAAAGCCACGGCUAACUACGUG
rnacentral:rRNA from 1 species